UACGGAGGAUCCAAGCGUUAUCCGGAUUUAUUGGGUUUAAAGGGUGCGUAGGUGGCCUGUUAAGUCAGGGGUGAAAGACGGUAGCUUAACUAUCGCAGUGCCCUUGAUACUGAUGGGUUUGAAUGAACUAGAGGUAGGCGGAAUGUGACAAGUAGCGGUGAAAUGCAUAGAUAUGUCACAGAACACCAAUUGCGAAGGCAGCUUACUAUGGUUUUAUUGACACUGAGGCACGAAAGCGUGGGGAUCAAACAGG
rnacentral:rRNA from 1 species